rnacentral:rRNA from 1 species
UACAGAGGUCUCAAGCGUUGUUCGGAUUCAUUGGGCGUAAAGGGUGCGUAGGCGGCGCGGUAAGUCGGGUGUGAAAUCUCGGGGCUUAACUCCGAAACUGCAUUCGAUACUGCCGUGCUUGAGGACUGGAGAGGAGACUGGAAUUUACGGUGUAGCGGUGAAAUGCGUAGAUAUCAGGAGGAACACCUGUGGCGAAAGCGGCUCACUGGACCAUAACUGACGCUGAGGCACGAAAGCUAGGGGAGCAAACAGG